UCAAGCUAAUAAGGGCGCAAGGGGGAUGCCUUGGCAUUGGUAGCCGAUGAAGGACGUAGCGAUCUACGAUAAGCCACGGGAAGUCGAAAGCAGGCAAUGAUCCGUGGAUUUCCGAAUGGGGAAACCCGGCAGAGCAAUACUCUGUCAACUCCUUGUGAAUAAAAUAGCAUUGAGUAGGGAACCUCCUGAACUGAAACAUCUAAGUAGGGAGAGGAAAAGAAAUCAACCGAGAUUCCGCUAGUAGUGGCGAGCGAACGCGGAAGAGGCCAAACCAAGAGUAGUAAUACUUUUGGGGUUCGGACUGAGCACGGUAUUGACAAAGGUUAGUAGAAUGAAAUGGGAAGUUCAACCAUAGAGCGUGAGAGUCGCGUAUACGAAAACUUGAGUCAGCCAUCAGUAUCCAGAGUACCGCCGGACACGUGAAACCCGGUGGGAACACGGGGGGACCACCCUCCAAGCCUAAAUACUCACCAAUGACCGAUAGUGUAUAGUACUGUGAAGGAAAGGUGAAAAGAACCCCUGGCGGGGAGUGAAAAAGAACCUGAAACCUUGUGCCUACAAGCACAUAGAGCACAUCAACGUGUGAUAUGGUACCUUUUGUAGAAUGGUCCGGCGAGUGAAUGUCACUAGCGAGGUUAAGGACUUAAGGUCUGCAGUCGAAGCGAAAGCGAGUCUUAAUAGGGCGCUAAUAGUUAGUGGUAUUCGACCCGAAACCGAGUGACCUAGCCAUGAGCAGGCUGAAGUGGAGGUAAAACUCCAUGGAGGGCCGAACCCACUCCCGUUGAAAUGGUAGGGGAUGACUUGUGGCUAGCGGAGAAAUUCCAAUCGAACUCGGAGAUAGCUGGUUCUCUCCGAAAUAGCUUUAGGGCUAGCCUCAAAUAACAUUACCGCAGGUAAAGCACUGAAUGGGCUAGGGGGCGAAAGCUUACUGAACCCUAUCAAACUAAGAAUGGCGGAUAAUGAAUAUUUGGGAGUCACACUACGUGAGAUAAGUUUCGUGGUGGAAAGGGAAACAGCCCAGACCCACAGCUAAGGUCCCAAAGUACAGUUAAGUGGAAAAGGAUGUGAAGUUGCGCAGACAACCAGGAUGUUGGCUCAGAAGCAGCCACUCAUUCAAAGAGUGCGUAAUAGCUCACUGGUCGAGUGAUUUUGCGCCGAAAAUUUAACGGGGCUAAACUGUACACCGAAGCUUGGGAAUAUACCUCUGGUAUGUUGGUAGGAGAGCGUCGUAUGCGGGGUGAAGUCGUAGCGAAAGCGGCGGUGGACUGCAUAGGAGUGAGAAUGCCGGAAUGAGUAGCGAGAAUUAUGUGAGAAUCAUAAUGGCCGAAAGACUAAGGUUUUAGAAGGAAGGUUCGUCCGCUUCUAGUUAGCCGGGAGCUAAGGCGAGGCCGAAAGGCGUAGUCGAUGCACAUACGGUUGAGAUUCCGUAGCCACCUUAAAUUUAAACUAAGGGACACAUUGAAAGGGAAUAACCCAGGCGUUGGUUGACCUGGGCGUAAGGGAACGAAAAUAAGUAGUGAAGUAUUCUUGGACAGUGGCGAGAAAAGCUUAGUGUAUAUUAUUAGGGUGCCCGUACUGCAAACCGACACAGGUAGUCAGGAAGAGAAUUCUAAGGCCAUCGGGAGAAGCGUUGUUAAGGAACUCGGCAAAUUGACCCCGUAACUUCGGAAUAAGGGGUGCUCACGCGAGUGAGCCGCAGUGAAUAGGUCCAGGCAACUGUUUAUCAAAAACACAGCUCUCUGCUAAAUCGUAAGAUGACGUAUAGGGGGUGACACCUGCCCGGUGCUGGAAGGUUAAGAGGAGGAGUGCAAGCCCCGAAUCGAAGCCCCAGUAAACGGCGGCCGUAACUAUAACGGUCCUAAGGUAGCGAAAUUCCUUGUCGGGUAAGUUCCG
rnacentral:rRNA from 1 species